CAGUCGCCGCGGGAAUACGUAGGUGGCAAGCGUUGUCCGGAAUUAUUGGGCGUAAAGGGCUCGCAGGCGGUUUCUUAAGUCUGAUGUGAAAGCCCCCGGCUCAACCGGGGAGGGUCAUUGGAAACUGGGAAACUUGAGUGCAGAAGAGGAGAGUGGAAUUCCACGUGUAGCGGUGAAAUGCGUAGAGAUGUGGAGGAACACCAGUGGCGAAGGCGACUCUCUGGUCUGUAACUGACGCUGAGGAGCGAAAGCGUGGGGAGCGAACAGGAUUAGAUACCCGAGUAGUCCCUGUCUCUUAUAA
rnacentral:rRNA from 1 species